GAUGAACGCUGGCGGCGUGCCUAAUACAUGCAAGUCGAGCGAACGGACGAGAAGCUUGCUUUUCUGAUGUUAGCGGCGGACGGGUGAGUAACACGUGAAUAACCUACCUAUAAGACUGGGAUAACUUCGGGAAACCGGAGCUAAUACCGGAUAAUAUUUUGAACCGCAUGGUUCAAAAGUGAAAGACGGUCUUGCUGUCACUUAUAGAUGGAUCCGCGCUGCAUUAGCUAGUUGGUAAGGUAACGGCUUACCAAGGCAACGAUGCAUAGCCGACCUGAGAGGGUGAUCGGCCACACUGGAACUGAGACACGGUCCAGACUCCUACGGGAGGCAGCAGUAGGGAAUCUUCCGCAAUGGGCGAAAGCCUGACGGAGCAACGCCGCGUGAGUGAUGAAGGUCUUCGGAUCGUAAAACUCUGUUAUUAGGGAAGAACAUAUGUGUAAGUAACUGUGCACAUCUUGACGGUACCUAAUCAGAAAGCCACGGCUAACUACGUGCCAGCAGCCGCGGUAAUACGUAGGUGGCAAGCGUUAUCCGGAAUUAUUGGGCGUAAAGCGCGCGUAGGCGGUUUUUUAAGUCUGAUGUGAAAGCCCACGGCUCAACCGUGGAGGGUCAUUGGAAACUGGAAAACUUGAGUGCAGAAGAGGAAAGUGGAAUUCCAUGUGUAGCGGUGAAAUGCGCAGAGAUGUGGAGGAACACCAGUGGCGAAGGCGACUUUCUGGUCUGUAACUGACGCUGAUGUGCGAAAGCGUGGGGAUCAAACAGGAUUAGAUACCCUGGUAGUCCACGCCGUAAACGAUGAGUGCUAAGUGUUAGGGGGUUUCCGCCCCUUAGUGCUGCAGCUAACGCAUUAAGCACUCCGCCUGGGGAGUACGACCGCAAGGUUGAAACUCAAAGGAAUUGACGGGGGCCCGCACAAGCGGUGGAGCAUGUGGUUUAAUUCGAAGCAACGCGAAGAACCUUACCAAAUCUUGACAUCCUUUGACAACUCUAGAGAUAGAGCCUUCCCCUUCGGGGGACAAAGUGACAGGUGGUGCAUGGUUGUCGUCAGCUCGUGUCGUGAGAUGUUGGGUUAAGUCCCGCAACGAGCGCAACCCUUAAGCUUAGUUGCCAUCAUUAAGUUGGGCACUCUAAGUUGACUGCCGGUGACAAACCGGAGGAAGGUGGGGAUGACGUCAAAUCAUCAUGCCCCUUAUGAUUUGGGCUACACACGUGCUACAAUGGACAAUACAAAGGGCAGCGAAACCGCGAGGUCAAGCAAAUCCCAUAAAGUUGUUCUCAGUUCGGAUUGUAGUCUGCAACUCGACUACAUGAAGCUGGAAUCGCUAGUAAUCGUAGAUCAGCAUGCUACGGUGAAUACGUUCCCGGGUCU
rnacentral:rRNA from 1 species